rnacentral:rRNA from 1 species
UACGUAGGGUGCAAGCGUUGUCCGGAAUUAUUGGGCGUAAAGAGCUCGUAGGCGGUCUGUCGCGUCGGCUGUGAAAUCCCACAGCUCAACUGUGGGCUUGCGGUCGAUACGGGCAGGCUAGAGUUCGGUAGGGGAGACUGGAAUUCCUGGUGUAGCGGUGAAAUGCGCAGAUAUCAGGAGGAACACCGGUGGCGAAGGCGGGUCUCUGGGCCGAUACUGACGCUGAGGAGCGAAAGCGUGGGGAGCGAACAGG